CCAUAAUCAGUUUCCAGUGCAACCCCCAAGGCAAGAUCUAAAGCAGAGCUUGAUGCAUUGCAUUGAUGAAUGUGAAACGUGUUGCUUGGGGAAAGCGUAGAGGAGUGUGGCUGGUGCGAGUCUGGCCUGGCUGCCAGCUGUGGAGAGGCCAGGCAGGUGUCAAGAGGUGAUGGUGUGGGUCCCCCCACUAGGUGAGAAGGGGGCGGAGCCUUGGGCUGAGGGGCGAGCCCUGGGGCGGGGCUCCCUGGCGCUGCCCUCUGUGAGGUCAGGGUGCAUCUGUGUGCGUGGGCGGAGGGCGGGGGCGUGAUCCCCUGGAGGCAGCCAGCUUUGGGGGUCCUGGAACAGGAGCAGAGGCGAGUCGGAGCACGGGGCUGAGUGGUAGGUGACCUCGGGAGGAAUCUCCUCAGCCCGAUGUGCCCCCGCCUGUGGCUGUCUUGGGACCGGCUCUCUCUGGACACACGGAAAUGCCACAGGGCUCAAAGGGCCACUGGACCAGAGGAUGAGAGGAGAAACAGAAGGGCAAGAGGAUCACCCCCACCUUUCCGCUGAGAAUGAAGUAAUCAAAACCAUUCGUGUUUAAUGCUGAAUUCAGAAAUACCUGAGUCUAUAUCCAUGAGACACUGAAAUGAUAAAGAAAAAGAAAAAGACACGUAUCUCGGUGUUACCUAGAGAAUAUCUCACGUGGAAUCCACAGAAUCAUUUCCUGUUUGUGUAUCAUAGACCGAAGCAAGCUACACGGCCACAGCUAAGCUGCAAGAGGACACGGAGUGGAGUGCUGUUAUGUGCCCCCAGCAAAGUGGAGAACGUUUGUGAGAAGAUCUUGUGAACACUGCCACUGUUUGCACAGGUUCAGGCAGCUCAUUCCGCAUGUAUUUGUAAACACUUUCUUGAGAUAUAAUGGACGCAGCCACACAUAUUUAAAGCGAGUCCUUUGAAAAAUCUUCCAUACAUGUGUUCACCCUAGCUCACUGUGAAUACUUCUGUUUUAUCCUGUUCCUUGCUUAUUAGGAGCAGCUUCUUGUGAGGUCAUUUUAGAGGUGUUUUCAGGGUUUAGAGAGUAGAUCUUUAUCUUGCCUCUGUCUGCUUGCCAGUGAAAUUGCGCCACUUUGUGCAGACUAUAAGGACCUCAUGGCAGGGCACCCCCAUCCUCCCUGGGCACACCUCUGUGCUCUGUACCCCACAUAUUCUGCUAUUAUUUUUAUUUUUUAAAGAUUUAUUUGUUUAUUUUGAAAGGCAAAGUUAGAGAGAGGCAGAGGCAGAGAGAAAGGUCUUCCAUCCAUUGGUUCACUCCCCAAUUGGCCACAAUGGCUGGAGCUGGGCCAACCCAAAGCCAAGAGCCAGAAGCCUCCUCCAGGUCUCCCAGGUGGGUGCAGGGGCCUACGGUCUUAGGCCAUCUCCUACUGCUUUCCCAGGCCAUAGCAGAGAGCUGGAUUGGAAGUGGAGCAGCCGGGACUCGAACCUGUGCCCAUAUGGGAUGCCAGAAUUACAACUAGUCUCAUCUUGCAAAUCUGAAGCUCUGUGCUUGUUAAACAUUAACUCCCCACACCUCCUCCCCCAGCUCCUGGCAACCAUCAUUCUGCCUUCUGUCUCUAGGAACUUCUUUUAUAAAAAGAUUUGUUUAUUUUGAAAGUCAGAGUUACAGGCCGGCGCCGCGGCUCACUAGGCUAAUCCUCCGCCUUGCGGCGCCAGCACACCGGGUUCUAGUCCCGGUCAGGGCGCCGGAUUCUGUCCCGGUUGCCCCUCUUCCAGGCCAGCUCUCUGCUGUGGCCAGGGAGUGCAGUGGAGGAUGGCCCAAGUACUUGGGCCCUGCACCCCAUGGGAGACCAGGAGAAGCACCUGGCUCCUGCCAUCGGAUCAGCCUGGUGCGCCGGCCGCAGUGCGCUGGCCGCGGCGGCCAUUGGAGGGUGAACCAACGGCAAAGGAAGACCUUUCUCUCUGUCUCUCUCUCUCUGUCCACUCUGCCUGUCAAAAAAAAAAAAAAAAGUCAGAGUUACAGAGAGACGUACACACAAAGAGGGAUAUCUUCCAUCCAUUGGUCCACUCUCUCGAUGGCUGCAGUAGCUGAGGCUGGUCUAGGCUGAAGCCAGGAGCCAGGAGCUUCUUCUGGGCUUCUCAUAUGGGUGCAGGGGUUCAAGCACUUGGCCAUCUCCACUGCUCUCCCAGGUGCAUUAGCAGGGAGCUGGAUUGGAACUGGAGCAGCUGGUGUUCAAAUCAGCACCCAUAUGAGAUAACAGCAUCACCACCAGCAGCUUUACUGGCUACACCAUAGCGCUGGCCCCUCUAGGAACUUUUUUUUAGAAAUGGAAUCAUAUGUAUUUGUCUUUUCAAGACUGAUUUACUCCAUUUAGCAUGAUUUCCAUGAAGUUCAUCUGUUGUGUAGUACAUGCCAGAAUUUUCUUCUAUUUUAAGCAAAUAAUAUUAAAUACAUUGUGUGUGUGUGUGUGUGUGUAUAUAUAUAUAUUUUUUAAGCCAAUUUUUAAAUUAGAUUUAAGCAAUAAGAAAAAAGGAUAUUGAUCCACAUAGUUGCCCUGUCUAGGACCCCUUGUUUCCUUGCAUAGGUCAGACUUCUGUGGUAUCAUAUCCCUUUGGCAGGGACUUCCAGUAACAGAUUUUUCUUCUUCUUUUUCUUCUUAUUUUAAGAAUUAUAUUUAAGUUAUGCAAAUUUCAUAUAUACAGAUUUAGAAACAGUGAUAACUUCCCUCUACUCUCCCUCCCACCCAUACUCCAAACCUUCUUCCUCCUCCCUCCCACAUUCCCACUCUUAAUUUUUACACAGCUCUGUAUUGAGUUUAUUUUCUGAUCAUAUAGUUAGCCCUACACUAAGUAAAAGAUUUCAACAAGUAGUAUGAAGAAAAAAAGAAAAGGAAAAAAAAAACAACACUGUUCCUCAAUGGAAGAGGCAAGAGCUGUAAACAGUCAUGGAAGCUCACAAUGUCAAUUUCACUCCAAUACAUUACGUUUCAGGUACUCUAUUAGUUACCUUAGAUCAGGGAAAACAUGAUAUCUGUCUUUUUAGACUAGCUUGUUUCACUAAGUAUAAUGGUUUCCAGUUGCGUCCAUUUUGUUGCAAAAGACAGGAUUUUUUUUUAAAGCUGAAUAGUACUCCAUAGUGUGUGUGUAUAUAUAUAUAGAGAGAGAGAGAGAUAGAUAUACCAUAAUAAUUUCUCUAUCCAGUCAACAGUUGACGGACAUCUGGGUUGACUCAAUAUCUUAGCUGUUGUAAAUUGAGCUGCAGUGAACAUGGGGGUACAGAUAACUCUUUCACAUGCUGAUUUCUUUUGGUCUGGGUAAAUUCCCAGGAGUGGGAUGGCUGGGUCAUGUGGUAGGUCUGUAUUCAGAUUUCCGAGGUAUCUCCAUACUGUCUUCCACAGGGCCUGUACCAGUUUACAUUCCCACCAACAGGGGACUUUUUUCCCUACAUCGUCACCAGUAUUUGUUGCCUGUAACAGAUUUUAAAGCACAGAUCUGCUGGUAAUUUCUUCCAGCUUUUAUAUAUCUAAAAAGGUCUUGAUUUUACUUCUGUUUUUGAAUGAUACUUUUGCUUAGUUUAGAUUUCAAGGUAAUAGGUUUUUCAUUCUUUUUCUAAUACAAAGAGAUUGUUCUACAGGAAUUUUAUUUCCAGAUAAAGAGUCUACUGCCAUUCAUUUUUUUUUUUUAAGAUUUAUUUGUUUAUUUGAAAGUCAGAGUUACUGAAUGCAACAGCCAGGGCUGGGCCAGGCCAAAGCCUGGAGCUAGGAGCUUCACCUGGGUCUCUUUCAUGGGUGGCAGGGGCCCAAGUCCUUCCACUGUUUUUUCUAGGUGCAUUAGCAGGGAGCUGGAUCAGAAGUGGAGCAACUGGGACUCAAACCGGUGCCCAUAUGUGAUGCAGGCAUCACUGACAGCAGCCUUACCUGCUACAUCAUAAUGACGGUCCCCUCUACUGCCAUCCUUUUUCUUUCUUUUUUUUUUUUAAGAUUUUUAUUUAUUCAUUUGAAAGUCAGAGUUACACAGAGAGAGGAGAGGCAGAGAGAGAGGUCUUCCAUCCAAUGGUCCACUCCCCAGAAGGCCGCAACAGCCAGAGCUGUGCUGAUCCGAAGCCAGGAGGUAGGAGCUUCUUCCAGGCCUCCCACAUGAGUGCAGGGGCCCAAGAACUUGGGCCAUCUUCUACUGCUUUAUCAGGCCAUAGCAGAGAGCUGGAUUGGAAGUGGAGCAGCCGGGACUCAAACCGGCGUCCAUAUGGAAUGCCGGCACUUCAGGCCAGGGUUUUAACCUGCUGCGCCACAGUGCUGACCCCUCUUUUUUCUUCCUUCCUUCCUUCCUAUGACUGCCUGCCAAUGAAGACUUUGAUUCUUCUUCUUUUUUUAAUUUAUUUGACAGGUAGAGUUAUGGACAGUGAGAGAGACAGAGAGAAAAGUCUUCCUUCUGUUGGUUCACUCCCUAAAUGGCCACUAUGGACGGUGUGCUGCACUGAUCCGAAGCCAGGAGCUUCUUCCCAGUCUCCCAAGCUGGUGCAGGGGCCCAAGCACUUGGGCCAUCCUCCACUGCCUCCUGGGCCACAGCAGAGAGUGGGACUGGAAGAGGAGCAACUGGGACUAGAACCUGGUGCCCAUACGGGAUGCCAGCACCGCGGGCGGAGGAUUAACCAAGUGAGCCACGGUGCUGGCCCCUCUUUUUUCUUUUUUAAAAAGAUGUAUUCAGGGCCUGCACUGUUGCAGUGCUGGCAUCCCAUAUGGGUGCCGGUUCUAGUCCUGGCUGCUCCACUUCCAAUCCAGCUCUCUGCUAUGGCCUGAUAAAGCAGUAGAAGAUGGCCAAGUCCUUGGGCCCCUGCACCCACAUGGGAGACCUGAAAGAAGCUUCUGGCUCCUGGCUUCAGAUCAGCACAGCUCCAGCCACUGCAGCAAUCUGGGGAGUGAACCAGCGGAUGAAGACUUUCUCUCUCUCACCCCCUCUGCCUCUCUGUAACUCUGCCUUUCAAAUAAAUAAAUAAAUCCUUUUUACAAAAUAAAAAUAAAAAGAGAUCUUCCAUCCACUGGCUCACUCUCCAAAUGGAUACAAUGGCUAGAGCUAGGCCAAUCUGAAACCAGGAGCCAGGAACAACUUCUGGGUCUCCCACACGGGUGCAGGGGUCCAAGCACUUGGACCAUCUGGAGUUACUUUCCCAAGUACUUUAGCAGGCCACUGGAUCAGAAGCGGAGCAGCUGGGACUCGAACCAGCGCCCAUAUGAGAUACUGAGGCUGCAGAGAGCAGCUUUACUGGCUAUGCCACAAUGCCAGUUCCUCUAUCUGUUCUUAUAUUAAUUUGUAUAUGAUGUGCCUUUAAUCUCUGCUUUUAAAAUGUUUUAUCUUUAUCACUGAUUGUAAGCCAUGUGAUUAUAUAUUAUAUGCCUUUCCUUUUGUUUUGUUUUCAUGCUGCUUCUUGCAUUUCAUUAAAAUUCUCUGGUCUCUGAAUUUACAAUUAAAAUUUAAUUGUAGGCCGGCACCGCGGCUCAAUAGGCUAAUCUUCCGCCUGCAGCGCUGGCACACUGGGUUCUAUUCCUGGUCGGGGUGCCAGAUUCUGUCCCGGUUGCCCCUCUUCCAGGCCAGCUCUCUGCCGUGGCCCGGGAAUGCAGUGGAGAGUGGCCCAAGUGCUUAGGCCCUGCACCCGCACGGGAGAACAGGAGAAGCAACUGGCUCCUGGCUUUGGAUCAGCGCGGUGCGCUGGCCGUAGCGGCCAUUGGAGGGUGACCCAACGGAAGGAAGACCUUUCUCUCUGUCUCUCUCUCUCUCUCACUGUCUACUCUGCCUGUAAAAAAAAAAAAGAGAGAAAAAAAUUAAAAAAAAAUUAAUUGUAAAUUAAAUUUACAAUAAAAAUCAAUAAAUAAAUCACUAUAAAUAAAUCAAUAAAUUUACAAAAAAUAAUGAAUAAAUCACUAAUCAUACAAUAAAGUUUAAUAAAAUUAAAUUACAAAUUAAAUUUACAAUAAUCAGAUUUGGAAUUUUUCAGCCAUUAUUUCUUCAAAAAUUUUCCUGCCCUUCCCUCUCGUUUCCUGUGAUGCCGCCACAAUACACAUGGAUCUUGGAUUUGUCGCACAGCUAACUGAUGCUUUGUCAAGUGUCUUUUUCUGAUUCAUUCGGUAUAAUUUCUAUGGCUGUGACUUUAUUUAUUUUAAAGAUUUAUUUAUUUAUUUGAAAGUCAGAGUUACACACAGAGAGAAGAGGCAAGAAGAGAGAGAGAGAGAGAGAGAGAGAGAGGGAGAGAAAGGUCUUCCAUUCGCUGGUUCACUUCCCAGUUGGCGCUGAUCUGAAGCCAGGAGCCAGGAGCUUCUUUCUCCCAAGCAGGUGCAGGACUUGGGCCAUCUUCUACUGCUUUCCCAGACCAUAGCAGGGAGCUGGAUCAGAAGUGGAGCAGCCGGGUCUCGAAUCGGCACCCAUAUGGGAUGCUGGCGCUUCAAGCCAGGGUGUUGACCCGCUGCACCACAGCACCAGCCCUGGCUGUGCCUUUAAAUUCGUUACUCUUUACUGCAGUAUCUCAUCUGCCAGUAAUUGCAUUCUGUGUGUUUUCCUUCUCAGGCAUUAUGGUGUCAUCCCAAGAAGUUCAACUGGGCAUCUGUAUCUGUAUAUAUAGCUCCCAUAUUCAGUACUUAACAUUCCAGUUUCUCUAGUUUAUUACGCAUAUGGACACAGUACUAAAAAUAUUUUCAAUGGCAUUUCCCACAAUGUUAUCAUCUAAAUAAUUUUUGAGAAUUUUUAUUUUAAGAUUUAUUUAUUUAUCUAUUAUUUAUUUGAAAUGCAUAGUUACAUGGAGAAAGAGAGAAAGAGAAAGCUCUUCCAUUUGUUGGUUCACUUCCCAAACAGUCACAAUGGCUAAGCCUGGGCCAGAGAGAAGCCAGGAGCCAGGAGCCAGGAGCUUCUUCUGGGUGUCCCUCAUGGGAGCAGGGGCCCAAGCACUUGGGCCAUCCUCCUCUGCUUUCCCAGGCACAUUAGCAGGGAACUGGAUUGGAAGUGGAGCAGCCGGCACUCGAACCAGCGCCCAUAUAGGAUGCUGGUGCUGUAGCCCAUGACUUUAACCUGCUGUGCCACAGUGCCAGCCCCAUUUCUGAGAGUUUUAUUGAUUCAUUUUUCUCCUCUUUUUCUACUUCGCUUGUCAUGUAAUUUUUGAUUGGAUGCUAGAUAUUGAGAAUUUUACUCUCUCUCUUUCACACAUACACACACACACACACUUCAAAGAGUUUGCGGAAUGGAAUUAAAAGGUAUUAUUUUCAUGCAAAAUGUUUUUGAAAGUCAGGUAUAUGAAGGGUCUUUAGGGAGUUCAUGAAAAACACGUUCCAUGGAAAACUGUCUUGUUAUCAAAGCCCAAAAGUUUGGGUCCUCUCACCCAUCACAGUGGGGAGGUAGAGGAAAGCCCAUUCUAUUUUGCAGUGUACCGAGCAAAGAGUUGGGCAGCUUUUGCUUAAUUUCCAGACUUCCCUAGGAUCUAAGGGUGGUGAAUCUUAUAACGCUGGGCUUGAGCUGUGUGUGAUCAGCCCCUGUGCUAAGCCUCUGGUUGGUGUCCAGUGACUGUGGCCUUCCUUGGAUUGGUCCAUGAGAAGAGGCUGGUGUGUUCUUCUGAAAAUGUGAUGGCAAAGUGGGCUCUGGCCUAUUUGCCAUCUACUGGUAGUUGGGUUAUUACUCUCAUCAGGGCUUAAAGUUUCUGCAAAACACCUCAAAAUAGAGCCUGGUGUUAGGAUGUUCACUGCAGAAGUAAUAAUUGGAUUCUGAGACUUGCAAUCCAGGACCAGCCCUGACCCUUGAACCAUUCCCUGAGUUUAGUGAGCUGAUCUUUAGCAAGGAGCUGACUUGUAGUCACCUCAGUGAAGACAAAGGAGCUGCAGGCCAAGGGAGAAAGGUUGGGGACUGAGAAAAAUCUACACCAAAGACAUUGUGUGUGUUGGAGGGGGGAGACUCAGCCUCAUUUUGCAUAAACUUUUUGAGUUUUGCUGUGGGAUAGACCCAAACAUAUUGGGUUGUUUCACUCAUUCAGUCAUUUCACAACUGCUGCACUGCUGAAGGCUGGCUACAGGACAGAUGCUAUUUUAGGCCUGGGAGAUGGAGCAGGCAACAUGCUUCAGGGAUGCAGACAAGUUCCUUGGAAAGGGCUUGAUGCUUUCAGGGCUGACUUUCAGCCCUUUCUGGCGGGGCCCAGAGACAUUCUACUGAGCCCGCAUCCUUGAAUCAUGAUGUUUCCCUGCUGUGAUGAGCGGGGUUAAGAUCUUGUGGGCUCACGUGUGUCCUGGAAAUCCUUCUUUCCAGUCCUUGCGGGGCAUUCUCUGCCCUGGGCAGUUUCUUCCCGUGCCUACACUGGUCCGUAGGGGAGGGCCUGAAGGGACGCCUUGUGCAAAUUUCUGGCAUGUGCUGGCUCAGGCUCUCUUCCUCCCCACCCUCCCAGCUCUGCCUCCACAGAUCAGAGGUACUGCCUCCUUCUCCUCCUGUCUCUGACCUUAGAGCUUGGUCUGUGAUCUCUAGAUCUACAAUCACUUACUCAAUUCAGUGACUUCAGCCAGUCUCAAGGUUCUAAAUACCAUCUCAAGCUGCUGAUUCUUACCUUUAUCCCUCGCCCAGACUUCUGCAUAAGAGAUUGCUUACUUGACAGUCCACUUGAAUAUCUAGUAGAUUUCUUAAUACUAACAAAGUAAAUGCCAGAGAUCCAAAUUUCUCAACUGCACCUGUGCCUGCUGCAACGUCUCGUUUCUCAGUCAAUAGCAGCUGGCUAAAGGCAACACCUAGCGUCCUCAAUGCCUUUUUUUUUUUUUUUUUUUUGACAAAGUGGACAGUGAGAGAGACAGAGAGAAAGACCUUCCUCUUCCGUUAGUUCACCCCCCAAUGGCCGCUACGGUCGGCACAGUGCGGCCGGUGAACCGUGCUGAUCUGAAGCCAGGAGCCAGGUGCUUCUCCUGGUCUCCCAUGCAGGUGUAGGGCUGAAGCACCUGGGCCAUCCUCCACUGCACUCCCGGGCCACAGCAGAGAACUGGCCUGGAAGAGGAGCAACCGGGACAGAAUCCAGCGCCCUGACCGGGACUAGAACCCGUGUGCUGGCGCUGCAGGUGGAGGAUUAGCCUAUUGAGCUGUGGUGCUGGCCAGCCUUUUUAAAAAAUAAUUUAUUUUAUUUCUUUGAAAGAGUUACAGAGAGAGGUAGAUACAGAGAUAGUCUUCCAUCCACUGGUUCACUCCCCAGAUGGCUGCAAUGGCCAGAGCUGUGCUGAUCAGAAACCAGGAGCCAGGAGCUUCUGGAUCUCCUAUGUGGGAGCGGAGCUUCCGUCCCAUCUUGCCCGCUCCUGCUCCAAACCCUCAUCUCACAAUGGCCCACAAGUUGCACCAUGGUCUGCCCUGGCCCCCACCCCAGCUUCUCUCCUCCCACCCUCCCCCUCAAGCUCCUGGCUCUGAUCACACAAUCCUCCCCACUGUUUCUCCAACACAGCCAGCAGACUUUGGCCUCAGGGCCUUUGCAAGCUCUUGUUCCUCCUCCUAGGAUGCUCUGGUCCCAGAUGUUUGCAUGGCCCUCACAGCCUUCCUGUUUUCUGCUCAUGAGGGGCUGGGUCAGGAACUCUGUGCCUUCUUAUACGAAAUAACAGCCCCUUUCCUCCUCACCGGCAUUUCAUUUGCCCUCUGCUCUAUUCUUUCCUCCUCUUCAUCAUGUUUAAAAUCACUUAACAUGUAUAUUAGCUGUUAUUUUAUCAUCUGCUCCCUUUGUAAACUACAAGCGCUGUAAGAAUAGGGAAUAUACUGACCUUAUUCUCUGCUCUCUCCCCUGCCUACCAUAGUAUUUGAAACAUUGUAAAAUUCAGGAAUGGGUGAAACAAAACUUAGCAGCUCUCUGUUCAAUGGGUAUUUAAUUUAGUGUAACUGCCUUAAAUUUAAGCAUGUUAAUUUAUGGGAAACUCUUUUUUUAAUUUUUAAUCUUUUUAGAAAGCUUUUAUUUAAUAAAUAUAAAUUUCAUAAGUACAGCUUUUGGAUUGUAGUGAUUCUUCCCCGCAUACCAGCCCUCCCACCCCCAAACUACCCCACCUCCUACUCCCUCUCCCAUCCCAUUCUUCAUUAAUAUUCAUUUUUAAUUAUCUUUAUAUACCAAAGAUCAACUCUAUACUAAGUAAAUACUUCAAUGGUUUGCACCCACACAGACACACAAAGUGUAAAGUACUUUUUGAAGACUAGUUUUACCAUUAAUUCUCAGAAUACAACUCAUUAAGGACAGAGGUCCUACAUGUGCAAGUGCACAGUGACUCCUAUUGUUGAUUUAACAAUUGACACUCUUAUAUAUGAUGUCAGUGAUCAUAAUUUAUGAGAAACCUAAAUGUUGAUCUUUCAUAUGCCACCAGGUAAUUGUGGACAGGCUGUAAGAAAAUCAUUUGAAAGAAGUAUCUGUUUUUUUAAAAAAAUAUUUAUUUAUUUAUUUGAAAGUCAGAGUUAUACACAGAGAGAGGAAAGACAGAGAGAGGGAGAGAGAGAGAGAGAAGAGAGAGAGAGGUCUUCCAUCCGCUGGUUCAUUCCCCAGUUGGCCACAACAACCAGAGCUGUGCAGAUCCGAAGCCAGGAGCCAGAAGCUUCUUCCAGGUCUCCCAUAUGGGUGCAGGGGCCCAAGGACUUGGGCCAUCUUCUUCUGCUUUCCCAGGCCAUAGCAGAGAGCUGGAUUGGAAGUGGAGCAGCCGGGUCUCCAACCGGCGUCCAUAUGGGAUGCUGGCACUGCACGUUGUGGCUUUAUCCGCUAUGCCACAACAUCAGCCCCUGAAAGUAGUAUCAGAUAUAGCCAUGUAUCACUUAACAAUAGGAAUCCAUACUGAUGUGUCAUCAGGUGAUUUUUGGUUGUAGUGUUAGACCCUCUGAGUGAGGAUGCUAAUACGUCGAGAGGCACGCCCCAAAGACUCAGAGUCCAGACCAGCUGAUGCAAAAGCAAGAGGAUUUAUUCAGCGUCUGCGCAGACGGGCCUCCUGAACUCGGGAGUCCAGAGAACGCCCCCAGCACAGAGCCACACGGUUUAUAUACCCGCAGCAACCAAUCAGAAGCACUAUAGUGUCCAUGCACACAGCAGUCCAAUCCGUGAACUGAUCAUGUGAAAGGCAUGCGUCUUCUAUCCAGUCAGCUACGGGGUCACAUGGGAGGCAUGCACCUCGUCGCCAUUUUGUUGUUUACUUCUUCAGCAGUUCCUUUCCCUGUCAGCGUCAUCUUGUUCACCCUGAGGGAGACGUGUCUCACUCCCUUCAUUCCCCUGGAGGGAGAGCAGCGUCCCGCUUCCCACACCGUUAUUUGAGUAUUAGGAGGUAUACAAACUGGGUUAGGUUUUAGCAGAGCCAGGCACAAGUGUCUCAGCUAGCUAAGCAUAGGGUCCCUUAUUUUUAUAGCUGCACCUAAUGUUAGCUUUGGGGAAAAAGUUUAGGGCUAUAAUUUUUAAACUUUAAUUUUAUUUGGGGCAGAGGUGACUUCUUGUUUUUAAUAGUGUUAGCUUAAGUCACUCCAUCUUGGUUAGAUUUUUAAGGUUCUUCAGUAGGAACAUUGUAGCAUGUACCUACAGGAACCUAUGCUGUAUAGUAUAAUCUGUUUGCUCCCAGGCUACAAAUAUAGACAACAUGUGACUGCACUGAACCCUGCAGGCAAUUGUAACACAGUGGUAAAUAUGAGUGUAUCUAAACAUAUAUAAGAUCUCAGAGAAGGUACAAGUAAAAUACUGUAUAAAACAUAAGGAUAAGCGCCGUGGUGCAGCAGUUUAAGCCACCACUUGGAAAGCCCAUGUCUCAGAUUAAAGCGCCUGGUUCAGAUCUGGGCUACUUGCUGAUCCAGCUUCUUGCUAAUGCACCUGGGAGGCAGAAAAUGAUGGCCCAAGUACUUGGGUUUCUGCUACUCUUAUGAGACACUCAGAUGGAGAGUUCCUGGCUCCUGGCUUCGGCUUGGCCUAGCUCUGGCUGUUGUGGGCAUUUGGGGAGUGAAUAAGUAGAUAGGGGAUCUCUGUCUCUCUCACUCUUGCUCUCUCUGUCACUGUCUCUGCGCGUGUAUGUGUGUCCCCCCUCUUUGUUACUCUGACUUUCAAAUAAACAAAUAAACAUGUUUAAAAAAAGAGAGAAGAGGCUGGCAUUGUGGCACAGUGGGCUAGACUUCCAACUGUGACACUGGCAUCCCAUUCAAGUGCUGGUUCAAGUUUCAACGGUUCCAUCACCCUGCCAAUGCUCUUGAGAAAGCAGCAGAAAAUGGCCCAAGUACUUGGGCCCCAGAUGGAGUUCUUGGCUCCUGACUUCAGCCUGGCCCAGCCCUGGCUCUUUUGAACAUUUGGGGAGAGAACCAGCAGACAAAGAUCUCUCUCUUGCUCUCCCUCUGUUUCUUUCUGCCUUUUUUUUUUUUUUUUUUUUUUUUUGGACAGGCAGAGUUAGUGAGAGAGAGAGAGAGAGAGAAAGGUCUUCCUUUUUCCAUUGAUUCACCCCCCAAAUGGCCGCUACGGCCGGCACAGUGAGGCCGGUGAACCGCACUGAUCCAAAGCCAGGAGCCAGGUGCUUCCUCCUGGUCUCCCAUGCGGGUGCAGGGCCCAAGUUCUUGGGCCAUCCUCCACUGCCUUCCCGGGCCACAGCAGAGAUCUGGACUGAAAGAGGAGCAGCUGGGACAGAAUCCGGCGCCCCAACCAGGACUAGAACCUGGAGUGCCGGCGCAGCAGGCACAGGAUUAGCCUAGUGAGCCGUGGCACCAGCCUGUAAUUCUGUCUUUCAAGUAGAUAAAUAAACAGUUUUAGUAAGCAAGAGAAAAUGGUUCACCUGUAUGGAGCACUUUCCAUGGACAGAGCUUGCAGGGCCAGAAGUCCUGUGAGGGAUGUGUAAAUGUGAAUGCCUAGGGUACUCUUGUUACUGCUGUAGGUUAUAUAAACACUGAGGGCUUAGGCCACACUAAAUUCAUAUUUUUUUCCUCUUAUAAACUUUAAAAUAUCUAAACUUUCGGUUCUUUUGAAAUAACACUUGGCUGAAAGCGUGAAUGUAUUUUCCAACUGUAAAAAAAUAUUUUCUUUCUUUGUUUCCUUCUUCUAUAAGCUCUUUUCUAUACAGUUUUUAAAUGUUUCACUUUUCAAACUUUUUUGUUAAAACCUAAGACAUGAGCACAUACUUCUGCCUGGGUCUUCACUGGGUCAGGAUUGUUAAUAUCACUGUCUUCUUCUUCUCUUUAAAAAAGAUUUAUUCAUUUAUUUGAAAGGCAGUUACAGAGGGAGAGAGAGAGAGAGAGAUCUUCCAUCCACCUGCUGGUUCAUCCCCCAAAUGUUGCAUCAGCCAGGAUUGGGCCAGACUGAAACCAGGAGCGAGGAACUCCAUUCUGGUCUCCCAUGUGUUGGUGAGGGUCCAAGCACUUGAGCCAUUUUCUGCUGCCUUCCCAGGAACAUUAGCAAGGACCUGGAUUGGAAGCAGAGCAGCCGAGACUCAAACCAGCACUGUUAAUAAACAUCACCGUCUUCUGUCUCCAGAUCCUAUCCCACUGGAAGGUCUUCAGGGGUCAUCAUGCACAUACAGCUGUCUAUGAUAACGAAGCCUUCUCCUGGGCACCUCCUGAGAGACCUGCCUGAGGCAUAUGUGCAGAAGAAGUACGCUCUAAAAUAAUGGCGAAAGGUGGCCGGCGCUGCGGCUCACUAGGCUAAUCCUCCGCCUUGCGGCGCUGGCACACCGGGUUCUAGUCCCGGUUGGGGCGCCGGAUUCUGUCCCGGUUGCCCCUCUUCGAGGCCAGCUCUCUGCUGUGGCCAGGGAGUGCAGUGGAGGAUGGCCCAAGUCCUUGGGCCCUGCACCCCAGGAGAAGCACCUGGCUCCUGCCAUCGGAUCAGCGUGGUGCGCCCGCCGCAGCACGCUGGCCGCGACGGCCAUUAGAGGGUGAACCAACGGCGAAGGAAGACCUUUCUCUCUGUCUCUCUCUCUCACUGUCCACUCUGCCUGUCAAAAAUAAAUAAAUAAAUAAACUGCUUUAAAAAAAAUAAAUAAAUAAUGGCUAAAGGUACCGUCACUGUAUAAACCAACAGCGGUCAUUUUCUCAUUAUCAAGCAUUAUAUACUGUAUAUAAUUGUAUAUUCUAUUCUUUUGCAGACCUGGGAGCAGGCUAGGUUUUCUCUACACCAGCACUACAUGUGAGUUUAAGAAACAUGUGAGUCCCCCCGUGGGAACCUUGGGAGCUGAGAUGCUGUUAGUUUGUAAGUCUCAAACUGUGCUGGGGCAGGGUGCGCAAGAGGACAUGGAUUAGCCAUGUCUCUGGCCAGAAAGGCGAUCAGCACCACUAAGGCCCCAGGGGUCACUGGUCCCUACAGUACAGCUGUGCUGGUGGACAAGACUGUUUACAUUUCAGGACAGGUGGGCAUGGACCCUUGCAGUGGAAAGCUUGUGCCAGGAGAGGUAGUAGAAGAAACUAAACAAGCUCUUACAAACAUAGGCUGUGACUUCGCUAAUGUGGUGACAACAACUAUUUUGCCAGCUGACAUAAACGAUCUCAAUGCUGUCAAUGAAGUCUACAAGCAGUAUUUCAAGAGUAAUUUACCGGCAAGAGCUGCUGGCCAGGUUGCUGCUUUGCCCCUGGGAAGUCUUGUUGAGAACGAAGCAAUAGCUGUUCGAGGACCCUCUCAAUAGCCACACUCUGAGUGUACCCUGUGUUGCUGAGUCUGGAAUUUUCAUUAUGUCUUUAACAUUGUAAUUUUUUUACAAUUGGUGUUGGGAAGUCGAGUUUGGCUAAAAUAGCCGAAGCUAUUAUGGAAAUAGCUUGUUAAGUGGGAGAGUUGAACAAUAAUUAAAGAUUAGAUAAUGAAUCCAGUUAUAAUGUCAUUAAAUUCCAUGUCUGUAGUUACGUUAAUGAGGGAGAAGAGAAGGCAUGUCUAGUUACUCAAAUCCAUAGAAGUCAAGGGGACUAGCCUGUGAGAAUGAUGAGUUGUUAGUCCCGAGAAAUGAUAAAUAUAUCCAAUUCACUUAAAUCUAUUAAUUUUACAAUGUGAAACAUUUAGUUCUCAUGUCAGACAUGGGAUUCUACUUUAACUUGAGUAUAAUUAAAAUAUUCAAAUUUGAGUGGUAGAGAUAAAUGAGAAGAUAGGGGACCAAACUUUUAUAUAGGUGAUAUUUUUCUUUCAUUUUCUUUAAAGAUUUAUUUUAUUUAUUUGAAAGACAGAGUUACACAGGGAGGUAGAGCCAGAGAGAGAGAGAUGUUUUCCGUCCACUGGUUCACUUCCCCAGAUGACUGCAACGGCCAGAGCUGAGCUGAUUCUGAAGCCAGGAGCCAAGAGCCAGGAGCUUCUUCCAGGUCCUACAUGUGGAUGCAGGGGCCCAAGCACUUGGGCCAUCUUCUACUGCUUUCCAGGCUGUAGCGGAGAGCUGGAUUGGAAGUGGAACAACUAGGACUUGAACCGGCUCCUAUAUUGGAUGCUAGUGCUGCAGCCUGGGGUUUUAACCCACUGUGCCACAGAGCCAGCCCCAUAGGUAAUAUUUUUCAAAUGCAAAUAAAAAAAACUUGCAUAUUUCAAAAAAAAAAAAGAAAAGAAACAUGAGUUUUGAAGACUUGGGCUAUGGUGUCACCAUGACGAUGAUGUAGGAACUCCAUUAUAAACUUCUGGGACCAACGUUGUAUGAGGGGCUUUCUAAAAAUCUCAUGGAAAAUGUGUAGUGUGACAGAAGUUGUGCGUGGAUUUUGGACUUCCUUGCAUCAAAAGAAGCUUCUAUUGAAUUCCUUGUCCAUGCACUUUUGGAAGUACCCUUGUAAUACAGUCUGUUGUCUGAAAUGCUGUUAUACAUAGGACUGUGCUCAUAUGAUUUACUGAGUAUUUAAUAAAACAGUACAGUAACUGCUUUAUGUGUAUUAUAAAACCUAAAUCCUCACAAUGAACCCAUGGCACAGGUGUUAUCCUGGUUUAUGGAUGAGGAGGCAAAGGCCCGUAUGUGUUAUAUAUUUUACCGCCCUCCUCACAGCUGGUGUGUAUCCCUGUCGGAAUUUCUCUGUGAAACCAAACCAAACUGGUUACCUCUCCUUGCCAUCUAUAUAAUGUGAGGGGGUAUACAAAAUGCAGUGUUAGAACAUCCUAAAGGCAGAGGUGUGACUUCAAAAGGCACUGACUUGUUUAACAUAUGGGAGCCCAAGAAAAUGACUGUCCUUUUGAGCCAGGCCCUGUUCCAAGCACUUAUGCAACUGCCAUGCUGCCUUUGUUCCUGUUCCAGGGUCAAUGGUGGCAUCCAACCAGGGCUCUUUACGGCACUACAAGUAAGGAGACCAGUGCGAGAAAGCGUGCAUGGUAGCAGAAAGUCCCAGGGUACUUUUUUUUGUAAAGCAUUUAUUUAUUUAUGUGAAAGUCAGAGUUACACACACAGAGAGAAGGAGAGGCAGAGAGAGAGAGAGAGAGAGAGAGAGAGAGUCUUCCAUCCAGUGGUUCACUCCCCACUUGGCUGCAACGGCCAAAGCGCCCUCUCCCCUGCAGGAGGCUUUAUGAGACAGGCCGAGCCUCCUACCCGGAGGAGACAGCCAAAAUUCAGCAGCCAGGCAGGGCUGCUUUCAGGGAGGUGGUGGGAAUUGACUAUCACAUAUGGUGGAAGAGGGAAUUUAAGACUGCUAGAAAUAUGUGAUUGAAAAAAAAUCAGGAAAUCCUUGAUUAUCUCUGGAUUUUCAAAUAUGAAGAUCCACAUUUAAGAAAUAAAGGUAAAAAAAAUUCACAAAGGGAUUUUAAUACACCGCAGGUAUUUUUGAGUUAUUUUCUGGACAGUUAGUGCCCCCUGGUGGAUCCACUGAUAUAUCUUUCCAAUGCUGCUUUUUUUCGGGCUGUGCUAUGUGCCAAAGAAAGCCAGCACCAGCAGAGCCAUUCAAGAAGUCAUUUGAAUCUAAUGAUGCCUUACAGGUUGUCCUCUAAGGGAGGGUGCAAUUUAUGAAAGUUGUGUGGGUUUAAUUAAGACACUGAAGUCUUAAUCCUUAGUACCUGGAAUUGUGAUCUUGUUUAGAGAAAGGAUCUUUGCCCAUGCACUCAAGAAGACGGGAGUCACAAGGGUGAGCCUUAAUCCAGUAUGUCUGGUAUCUUUGUAAGAAGAGGAGAGGGACCCUACAUGUGACAAUGGGGACAGGCAUUGGCAUGCUGUAGCCACACACCACGGAAUGUGCUAGAAAGAAUGUGCCAGCAGCCACCAGGCACUGGGAGAGGCACAUGGAGCAGAUUCUGUCUCAUAGCCAUCAGUAGGACCUAACCCUGCUGAUUCCUUUGAUUUGGGACUUUGACCCUCCAGAACUUUGAGACAUCCUUUUCUGGGGCUUCAGCCUCCUGCUCAUGGGUUGUGCUCCUUUGUUUUGGCAGCCCUAUCAGACUGACAGAACAUGGAAAGAAUCUUGAAUUCUGAGGCAGAAGACCUGGUUCACCUACCAGCUGCCACUAAAUACCUGUACAACCUUGGGAAAAUCAUUUUGGUUCGUCUGAGCCUGUUUUAGUAACUGCAACAAGAAGAAAUAAUACAAAAGUUACGGUUGUCCAGUCCCAGCUUCUGGGAUUGCUUAGGUAAAAGCAUUUUGCUACUGGUAGUGCAUUGUGCAACGCUCUAUUGUUUCAUUUCUGAAGCUAGUAUGCCUGGGUCCACCAGUAGAAAUCUUGUACAGGAGUUUUAUAAACGUGAUUCUCAAAUGAACCCGAAGGCAAUGAUGCCCAGAAGUGGACUUGUAAUAAGUUAAUGGGAUGGAUCCAUCACCCGCGGCUCUGUAACAAUGGACUCAAGACAAUAAAGGUAUAUCAUGUGACACAAUUCCUGUAGGUCAGGAGCCCGGAGCAACUUAAUGGGUGCUGCUGGUGUGGGGUCUCUUGUGAGGUGGUUGCAGGCACUGAGGCUUAGACAGGGGCUGGGGACCCCCUUCCAAGAUGGCUUAGUCGCAGGACUGUUGGUGGAAGGCUGCAGCUGCUCACCUUGCGUCCUUUCCACCGGUCAGCGAGCGUAUUUCCACAGGAAGGCACCCCUGCCUCCUCGCGCCCCACUGCACCCGAGCAGUGGAUCUUGACCAUUGCAGGCUCACAGGCUCACAGGGACCUCAUGAAAACUGGGGCCCCUCCCUCCACAUAUGCAGUUACACAGAAUGUUCUAGGUAGGAAGUGUUUUUUAGAAAUGCAUCAUGUGGGGCUGGUGCUGUGGCUCAGCGGGUUAACACCCUGGCCUGAAGUGCUGGCAUCCCAUAUAGGCGCUGGUUCAAGUCCCGGCUGCUCCAUUUCUGGUCCAGCUCUGCUAUGGCCUGGGAAAACAGUAGAAGAUGGCCCAAGUCCUUGGUUCCUGGCUUUGGAUGGGCACGGCUCCGGCCAUUGCGGCCAAUUGGGGAGGGAGCCAUUGGAUGGAAGACCUCUCUCUCUCUCUGCCUCUUUUCUCUCUGUGUAACUCUGACUUUCAAAUAAAAAAAUAAAUUUUUUUUGACAGGCAGAGUGGAUAGUGAGAGAGAGAGAGAGAGAGAGAGAGAGAAAGGUCUUCCUUUUGCCAUUGGUUCACCCUCAAGUGGCCGCCAUGGCUGGCGCGCUGCGGUCGGCGCACCGCGCUGAUCCGAUGGCAGGAGCCAGGUGCUUCUCCUGGUCUCCCAUGGGGUGCAGGGCCCAAGGACUUGGGCCAUCCUCCACUGCCUUCCCGGGCCACAGCAGAGAGCUGGCCUGGAAGAGGGGCAACUGGGACAGAAUCCGGCUCCCCAACUGGGACUAGAACCUGGUGUGCCGGCGCUGCAAGGCGGAGGAUUAGCCUAUUGAGCCACGGCGCCGGCGAAUAAAUAAAUCUUAAAAAAAAAAAAAAAAAAAGAAAUGCAUCAUGUCCUUGUGACUUCAACGUAUAUAAUUCUACCUGGAAAGAAAUUUCCAUCCAGAUUAUUAUAGGGGCUGGCAUUGUUGCACAGUUUGUUAAGCCACCACUAGUGAUGCUGGCAUCUCAGGAGAGCCCUGGUUCGAGUCCCAGCUGAUCCACUUCCUAUCCAGCUCCCUUCUCAUACACCUGGAAGGUGGACUUGGUGCCCUGAGAGACCAGGAUGGAGUCCAAAUCUCCUGGCCUCAGCCUGGCCCAGCCACAGGCAUUGUAGCCAUUUAGAGAGUGAACCAGUGGAUGGAAGAUUCUCUCUAACUCUGCCUUCAAAUACAAAAUUAAUCUUUAAAAAAACAUAUUUAUAGCUGUUCCAUUCUGUAAGGCAGCUGUCUCAGGUGCUUGUCAUUUAGAUCUAACAUCUUCAAACAAUGUCAGGAAGCUUAGGGUGGGAGGUGCAGGAUGUUUCUGAAUGUGUGCAUCAGUGAGGGCAAUCCCACAGCAGUUUCUUUGCGAUUAACUUGUUGCUGGGUUUUCUUGGAAAGAAGGCAAAUUGUACUGUGUGGUUUAUUUUUUAAAAUUUUUUGGGAGGUAAAUAUUUCGCAAAGUUUAUUCUUAGUUGAGUCUACAACAAUUCAAAGGUGGUAGACCCAUUUUAAAGGGGUAUACUAUACAACAGAUACAUGAUAAGGCAAGACAAGAAAGCCCAAUUACUGAAAGACUUUUAAACCUCUAUUCAUGUGGCUAAGUCAUUGACAGUCUAUGGUAUGAACUUUUUGAUGUUUCCCAGAAGUACGUUACUUUAAUUUUCCAUUUUAUCAGGUCCUAAGAAACUUUAUUUCUCAAAGAUAAAAAUGGCUGGUGGGCAACAGUGAAAAAUGUGCUGAAAAGGUUAUCUGUUUAUAAAUAUAAAGUGUCUCAUAAAUUAAUGAAAGGAAGAAGUUCAGAAAGCGGGAGUUUCUAUGGUGUAUAAAAAUAAAUACUGUAGAUUUACAUAUAAGACUGAUAAUAAAUUAUUUUUGUGGACAAAUAAAAAGAAGUCACCUUAUUGGUUACACACAUUUGGGAAGGCUUUCAAAAGGUAAUGCUUUUAAAAAAAGAAAUCUACAUCCCUUUCACAGUUAAUUCAGCUAAUCAGUCACUAAUUUUCCCUUUUGUCCUUACACAGCUUCAGACUUUUUGUUGCUCUAAUCAAGGUUGAAUAGCAAAAGACAAAGAACACUUGGAUCUCUAAUACUAUUUUUGUGGCUGGCGCCUCGGCUCAAUAGGCUAAUCCUCAGCAUUGCGGCGCCAGCACACCGUGUUCUAGUCCUGGUCGGGGCGCCGGAUUCUGUCCCGGUUGCCCCUCUUCCAGGCCAGCUCUCUGUUGUGGCCCGGGAGUGCACUAGAGGAUGGCCCAGGUGCUUCAGCCCUGCACCCACGUGGAGAAGCACCUGGCUCCCGGCUUCGGAUCAGCAUGGUAUGCCAUUGGAGGGUGAACCAACGGCAAAAGGAAGACCUUUCUCUCUGUCUCUCUCACUGUCCACUCUGCCUGUCAAAAAAAAAAAAAUACUAUUUUUGUUAUCACUUACAGCAAAUGGCAAGAUCUGGAAAGGGCGGUGACAAGGAUAUGUUCUAGGAAACAAGGCAUGAUUCUUUAUUCCAAAGUUUUAAUGUGUAAAAAUGGAGAUUAUUUUAUAAAAUAAAAUAUUCUUUUGCUUUCCUUGGUCUUAGGAAUAUAAAUAAUUUAGAGUUGGCUGUUCUUACUGUGAAGAUAAAUUAAUCGGAGAUUUCUCUAUCUGAAAUCUAAAAGAUAUAGUGAUACUCUAUUUUAUUUUUAGAAAACUGCUUCUUCAAUUGGUUUCUCUCCGUGAACUUAAAGGGUCACAGAUGUAUAUAACAAGACUGGACUUCAGGGACUUCACAAUGUGGUCACUUUGCAGCUAUACAUAUUAGAAAAGUAAUUACUCUGCGUUUCAAUUUUCUGUGCUGUGAAAUAGAGACAGGAAUACUAAGUGAUGUGAUGUGUUUGGAUGUGCUUUGGAAUAUGUACUGUUACCAGUUGUUGGUUGGUUAAUGCUUUAAUGAUGUAACUUGCUCUGUGCAAGGUGUCCGGCACAUAACAAAUCUUCCCAGGCAGAUGAAUCGAUUAAUUCACAGACUUUUACUGGGGUUCUGCUCCCGGGCGAGGUUCCCUGGUCCCAACAGAGCAACAGGGUGGGGGGGGGCUGGGAAGUCUCCAGUCAGAGAUUGGGAGAGCUCCUUUUAUAGAUUCAGGGCAUGGGAGUUAAAGGUUGAGGCAGGUCUGAUCCUCAUUGGUUGACCUUUAGGCACCCGCAGGGACCUUGACAAGGACUUUCUUCCCCGGAAGUAGGCCUCUCCAUUCCCUGAAGUGUAGGCCUUCCCUCCUUGCGGGUCCCAAAGCUACCACUCUGCAUUUUUUGUUGGUGUUAAAACAGAAACCACUGGGAAAUGUAAAUGAUUGUAAAUCAUGCAGACCAAAUAUAAAUAAGUGAUUUGCAAGUGGUUUACAAUAAAAUCAAAAAUCUCACUCAUGGAUUUCAUAAAAAAGAAAAAAAAUCUUUGCAGCUAAAUAUUCAUCAACUUAAAUGUAACCAUUCUUUGUUUUAUACGAAUGUUCACUAUAUGACAUUUAACUCUCCAAAGGAGAAACUGUAUAAUUAGUUCAGUUCUCUGCCUUAAAGCUUAAUUAUCAGGCAGAAUGAUGGAAUACAGUUCAAAAAUAAGCAAAAAUACAUAACUCUCAACUACAGCCCCUUUGAAGAGCUUAGAAAGAAUGCUUCCAAUAUAUUUAUGAACAACCUAUAAUUUAUAUAACACUAAGACAACUGAAACCAUGAUCAAAGUUAAUGUGCAUGUUUUAUUCUUCCUUUAUCAGUUUUAAAUUAUUAAAUAUGUAGUGGUCUUUAGAGAUUGCACCGUAUUUUAAGAAGUGAGCUAUAUGUGAUAUGGAAAUGCUUAUCUGCUGAAUAACCAAGGUGGUGGUUAUUUAACAUGUUGGGUCAGAAUUUUAGAAAAAUAACUGAGAAGUGGAGCAGUGUAUAUGCUAGUGUCCGAUGUAGAGAUAAGCCUGUGCAAACAGAUGGUAAGUGUAGGCGUGAACAAUAAGUGAGGGAACUCACCAACUUCCCUUUUAAAAGGGUAAAUGACAGACUUUCUUAAAAGUGCAAACAAAUCACUUAGUCAUUCUAAAUCUUUUUUUUUUAGCAUUUUUUUUCUUUUUUUCCUUUUUUUUUUUUUUUUGACAGGCAGAGUGGACAGUGAGAGAGAGAGAGAGAGAAAGGUCUUCCUUUUGCCGUUGGUUCACCCUCCAAUGGCCGCCGCGGCCGGCACACUGCGGCCAGCACACCGCGCUGAUCCGAUGGCAGGAGCCAGGUGCUUUUCCUGGUCUCCCAUGGGAUGCAGGGCCCAAGGAAUUGGGCCAUCCUCCACUGCACUCCCUGGCCACAGCAGAGAGCUGGCCUGGAAGAGGGGCAACCGGGACAGAAUCCGGCGCCCCGACCGGGACUAGAACCUGGUGUGCUGGCGCCGCAAUGCCUGCCCAUUCUAAAUCUUAAAACUUGAUUAAACAGAACAGUUUUUUUGUGAAGAAGAAGAAACUAUUAAUUACAAUAUAGGUAACAAAUACUAAAUUCUGGUUGGCAGCAAUAUUUUUGGACCAAAUAACGAAAGCAUACAAAUGAAAUAUGUUUAAGAAUCACCCUAUAAUGCUGAUGUUCCAACAGUGCUAUCAUUUUUUUUUAAGAUUUUAUUUACUUAUUUGAGAGGUAGAGUUACAGACAGUGAGAAGGAGAGACAGAGAGAAAGGUCUUCCUUCUGUUGGUUUACUCUCCAGAUGCCCGCAACGGCUGGAGCUGCGCCAGUCCGUAGCCAGGAGCCAGGUGCUUCUUCCAGGUCUCCCACGCAGGUGCAGGGGCCCAAGGACUUGGGCCAUCUCCUACUGCUUUCCCAGGCCAUAGCAGAGAGCUGGAUAGGAAGAGGAGCAGCCAGGACUAGAACCGGCACCCAUAUGGGAUGCCGGCGCCACAGGCAGAGGAUUAACCUACUGCACCAUGGUGCCGGCCCCAGUGCUAUCAUCUUUACUAUCCAAGAUUUCACUUUUUAUCAAAGGCCUCUCUCAUACACACAAAAUUUCUCAAAUCAUUUCAUCUCAACAAAUGCAGUUUAGGUUAUCUUCUGCUUUUGACUAUCAGGUUGUUUGAAAAAUACCAAUAUUUUAUUCAACAAAUCAAUCAUUUAAAAUGGCUCAUUGCUUUCAUUAAUGAUCUCUCAAGAUCAUUCUGUAUGUAAAGGGUAGCCUGCCAAGAACUUGGCGAAGUUGAAAUUGAGUUAGCAUUAGCACAGGGUAAUUUUAGAUGCAGGUAAAAGUGAAUUUAUCUUGUGCUCAG